AAUUCGAUUGAGUUUGAUCAUGGCUCAGGACGAACGCUGGCGGCGUGCCUAACACAUGCAAGUGGAGCGACGAACCGGGCUUCGGCCCGGGGCAAAGCCGCGAACGGGUGAGUAACACGUGGGUAACCUGCCCUGAUGAUUGGGACAACCCGAGGAAACUCGGGCUAAUACCGAAUGUGCCCUCCGGCCUCAAGGCCGCUGGGGAAAGGAAGCUUCGGCCUCCGCAUCGGGAUGGGCCCGCGGCCCAUUAGCUUGUUGGUGAGGUAACGGCUCACCAAGGCAACGAUGGGUAGCUGGUCUGAGAGGACGAUCAGCCACACUGGGACUGAGACACGGCCCAGACUCCUACGGGAGGCAGCAGUGGGGAAUCUUGCGCAAUGCGCGAAAGCGUGACGCAGCAACGCCGCGUGGGGGAAGACGGCCUUCGGGUUGUAAACCCCUUUCAGUUGGGACGAAGCUUUGCCGGUGAAUAGCCGGUUGGAGUGACGGUACCUUCAGAAGAAGCCCCGGCUAACUACGUGCCAGCAGCCGCGGUAAUACGUAGGGGGCAAGCGUUGUCCGGAAUCAUUGGGCGUAAAGAGCGUGUAGGCGGCUCGGUAAGUCCGCUGUGAAAGUCCAGGGCUCAACCCUGGAAUGCCGGUGGAAACUGUCGAGCUAGAGUCCGGAAGAGGCGAGUGGAAUUCCUGGUGUAGCGGUGAAAUGCGCAGAUAUCAGGA
rnacentral:rRNA from 1 species